UACGUAGGGUGCAAGCGUUGUCCGGAAUUAUUGGGCGUAAAGAGCUCGUAGGCGGUCUGUCGCGUCGAAUGUGAAAAUCCGGGGCUCAACCCCGGACCUGCAUUCGAUACGGGCAGACUAGAGUUCGGUAGGGGGAGUCUGGAAUUCCUGGGUGUAGCGGUGAAAUGCGCAGAUAUCAGGAGGAACACCGGUGGCGAAGGCGGGACUCUGGGGCCGAUACUGACGCUGAGGAGCGAAAGCGUGGGGGAGCAAACAGG
rnacentral:rRNA from 1 species